UUAAUUCAAAUUUGUAUGGAGUUGGAACGUUUGCCUACGUUUGCCGCUAGGGGUGCUGUUCCAACUGGAUACAAAUUCGAGUUA
rfam:Bombyx mori DNA, contig: Bm_scaf66_contig30181, strain: p50T/Dazao, build 2, whole genome shotgun sequence.